rnacentral:rRNA from 1 species
AUUGAACGCUGGCGGCAGGCCUAACACAUGCAAGUCGAACGGUAACAGGAAGAAGCUUGCUUCUUUGCUGACGAGUGGCGGACGGGUGAGUAAUGUCUGGGAAACUGCCUGAUGGAGGGGGAUAACUACUGGAAACGGUAGCUAAUACCGCAUAACGUCGCAAGACCAAAGAGGGGGACCUUCGGGCCUCUUGCCAUCGGAUGUGCCCAGAUGGGAUUAGCUAGUAGGUGGGGUAACGGCUCACCUAGGCGACGAUCCUUAGCUGGUCUGAGAGGAUGACCAGCCACACUGGAACUGAGACACGGUCCAGACUCCUACGGGAGGCAGCAGUGGGGAAUAUUGCACAAUGGGCGCAAGCCUGAUGCAGCCAUGCCGCGUGUAUGAAGAAGGCCUUCGGGUUGUAAAGUACUUUCAGCGGGGAGGAAGGGAGUAAAGUUAAUACCUUUACUCAUUGACGUUACCCGCAGAAGAAGCACCGGCUAACUCCGUG